rnacentral:rRNA from 1 species
AGUGAACGCUGGCGGCAGGCCUAACACAUGCAAGUCGAGCGGCAGCACAGUAAGAGCUCGCUCUUACAGCUGCGGACUGGUGAGGAGUUCAUGGAAAUCUCCCUAUUUGUGGUUUCUAACGUGAGGACGCUGGCGCUCAUACCGCAUACGUCCUUACGGCGUACGGGUGGGAGCACGGGACCUCACGCCCUUACGUGAGCCGACGACGGAUUAGCUAGUUGGUGGGGUAAAGGCCUACCAAGGCGACGAUCCGUAGCUGGUCUGAGAGGAUGAUCAGCCACACUGGAACUGAGACACGGUCCAGACUCCUACGGGAGGCAGCAGUGGGGAAUAUUGGACAAUGGGCGCAAGCCUGAUCCAGCCAUGCCGCGUGUGUGAAGAAGGCCUUCGGGUUGUAAAGCACUUUUGUUGGGAAAGAAAAGCAGCAGGUUAAUACCCCGCUGUUCUGACGGUACCCAAAGAAUAAGCACCGGCUAACUUCGUG